rnacentral:rRNA from 1 species
GACGAACGCUGGCGGCGUGCCUAAUACAUGCAAGUAGAACGCACAGUUUAUACCGUAGCUUGCUACACCAUAAACUGUGAGUUGCGAACGGGUGAGUAACGCGUAGGUAACCUGCCUGGUAGCGGGGGAUAACUAUUGGAAACGAUAGCUAAUACCGCAUAAUAUUAAUUAUUGCAUGAUAAUUGAUUGAAAGAUGCAAUUGCAUCACUACCAGAUGGACCUGCGUUGUAUUAGCUAGUAGGUGAGGUAACGGCUCACCUAGGCGACGAUACAUAGCCGACCUGAGAGGGUGAUCGGCCACACUGGGACUGAAACACGGCCCAGACUCCUACGGGAGGCAGCAGUAGGGAAUCUUCGGCAAUGGACGAAAGUCUGACCGAGCAACGCCGCGUGAGUGAAGAAGGUUUUCGGAUCGUAAAGCUCUGUUGUAAGAGAAGAACGGGUGUGGGAGUGGAAAGUUCACACUGUGACGGUAUCUUACCAGAAAGGGACGGCUAACUACGUG